UCAGUGAUGCCUCUGCAGACCACAGACGGGGAGAUACAUGAAGAUACUACGGUCCGUGGGACCUUACGAUCCAAGUGACGUCCUAUGAUCUGCCCCAAGUCGAAAUUAUUUCCAAGGAAAGACGCGUUUUCUGUGGGAUUCAAGGGAUUAAUCUCUGUCGGGCGGUCUCUCUUCACAAAGGUGGAGAAAUGUGCACACACAGACGAGGAGGAGUGUGGAAUUGAGUGCAGGGGAAGAAAGAUGCCAAAGAUGAAAACAUAAAACAGAUGGUUGAUUCUGUGGCUUUGAUCAUCUCCACCAGAGGAAUUCUACUUGGUGCAACC